CCCAACCAAGUCUAUUAAUCUGACAUGUUUAUCAUUCCAUCAUAAACUACUAAGUCACAUUUAAUAACUUAGAAUCAAAUUAUUACUACACAUUGCCAUCUCAUACUGGCAUACCAAACAAGUGUAUAUACAUUGUCUACAACAUGUAUCUUAACAAUUUACAUUAGGUUCGUCUAUACACAACAAAAUAAUACUCGACUUCUUGCGGAGGGACUCGAACGAAUGUACAGCUACUGAAUGCCGAGACACCUGCCAAAAGAUGGACACAAAUCUAUAAGGAUACCUCGUUCUAGUUACCGACUGCCUCGUGAUUUGAAAACAUGAAGUUUAAAAAUGGUGAGUAUAAACCCAGUGAGUGAACAAGGAAGGGAACACGCAACAAUUAGGGAGAAUUUAUAAUCAUGAUGCACUUGUUUCAAAACAAUGCAAUUUAGUUCCAUUCAUAUUAAAAACCCCUCAUCAAGCCCUUGAAUGAUUAAUCAUUUGAAAAUCAUGAACCCAUACAUAACAAACCAUUUGAAGAAUGAAAGCUUCAAUGAUACGCAAGCAAGUCAAAUACGACAACGAAUCUUCGCUGCAGCGAGAAUGCCUUUCCGUUGUAGCGACGUUGGGAUUUAGUUAUUAGCCGAACGAGGGUUUCUCAACUGGCCGAGGGUUUCUCACUAAACCUCCUCAUUUUAAACUUAACUCAUUUAGUCCUUAAUGUUGGAAGUCCAUGCUCAGAUAUGGUAGCAAAGAAGUGAAAAAUAGGGCAGCAAUUGCAACCUAGAAACAGAAAGUUUCUCGCUGCAGCGAGAAUGAAUUUCGAUGUAGCGAAAAGCUACAGUGUCAUUCUCACUGCAGUGAAAAUGCAUUCUCGUUGUAGCGAGUUUUUGGCCAGUCUACCCCUCCAAACCUGAGAGUUUCUCGCUACAGCAAAAAUGAUUCUCGCUGCAAUGAGAAACAGGGCACUAAUGAAAAAUUUGCCCUUCUUCCGAAAGAAAAACCACCCUGCUGAAAUGUCCAAACCAACAUGAAACGCAUAACAAUUUUCCACAGUUUAACAUGUCAAGUUUCACAUGCAUUACAACCAUAUACCAUUACUCAUUAAUUUCCUAUAUCACACAUAUUUACAUAUGUAUAUAUGUAUACGUAUACCCAUCAUCAUUAUCACACCAUCCCAUCAUCAUCAUCACCAACUCAUGCGCAUUCCCUACUCGCACAUGGCUGGGUCAUCACCGGGUUAUGCGCCUCCCUACUAGCACAUAACCGGGUCAUCCUCGACUUAUGCGCACUCCCUACUCGCACAUAGCCGAGUCCAUGUCAUUACACAACAAUAUAUUCAUAUAUAUAUAUAUAUAUAUCAACGCCAUGUGGUAGUGCAUGAAUCAAUAAUAGUCACAUGUCACAAUAUAAACCAUUUCUCAAGAGCUUGUUCCCAAGGCACUUAUCUUUUAAGAAAAGUUGUAUAAAAACAUUCAAACACUUUGUACAAAACAGUCACAAUCCCAAAAUAGUUUUAAUAGGCAGUCCACUCACCGAUUUAUUGUUGAGCCUUUAGUUGACUCUAAUUCCCUUAAUGAUCCAAUUGGAAGGAUGGGACUUCAUUAGAACCUAGGAUCAUAUUAGCAUAAACAAUAGGUCAAUUCACACACUAUGAACCCUAAAAGCUAUCUCUUAGCUAGCUUUCAAUUGCCACAUUAAAUGGCUAUCUAUGUUCACUAUCUUAAUCACUAAAAAAGUAAUGAACAUACUCAACAAUACAACAACUCUUAAUCUAAAUUACUAGUUAUUAUUCACACCUAAAAAUCAAGCUUGGUUCAUCACUCACCCUAGGGUUCCUUUGUAGUUGAAUUUUCUUCUAAUAGCUUCCAAAUCAAUGGGGUAAUUCUCUCUUUCUCUUUCUAAAAUGCCCAGCUAGUGAGAGAAAGUAUGGAAAUAAGCUUUAUCAAGGGUUUUGAAGUGAGAGAGUGAAAGAAUUAAAGAGUUCUAGUCAAAAGGGCUCAAAGGUAUGAAAACUAGAGCUAGAGAGAGAAAAUUAUGCAAGCUCCAUAUCAAGCUUCCAUGGAGGUUGGAAGCAACGUGAAAGAGAAGAAGACGAAGAAGAAGACAAGCUGCUGGAAGAAAGAUAUUUAUAGCUAAUCUUAUCCAUUCUCUUAAAAUUACGAAAAUGCCCUUGACUAGUUAGCUUGUUCUCAUGCAACCCUUUGUGCAAUCUUUUUGCUCUUUUGACACUAGGACAAGGUCCAUAAUGGUCUAAACAUACUCGAGUUUAUAAAAACUUAAAAUUUUAACCUGAGGUAAAAAAUGACCAUUUUGCCCAUGUUAUGAAAAUUGUUGAAACUUCUAGUUUUCUUCGUGUUUUCAUCAGUACACAUUAUUUAUGCAGUCUUAUACCUAUUUAGACCUUAAUAUAUCAUAAAAAUUUCUUUUGAGAGCUUAUUAGAGAAAAUGACGAAACUACCCCUAGUUCGUAUUAUUACAUCUAUGCUUAAUUACAAGCCUAUAGAGGUUGAGGUCUCACAGUGUUGUGGAGAAAGUUUGAACCUUUGGAAAACCAAGUGUUUGACGAAAGUAGCUAGAGAGUAAGGUGCGCUUCUUUGAGGUGGGUGGAUAUGGUGUUUUUAAUUAUUUUGAUAUAAUUAAGCAUACCUAUUCUACAACCUUACAUAUAAAUGGAUUUUGAUAACAUUUGCGUGGUGAACAAGUGUUUUUAAGUACGUUUGAUGACAAAGUAUAUAUAGUCUCCUGUAUUGUAAAACCUGACCUUAUAAACACAUGUCAUGACAUACAUGCAUUGAGUAGCAUGUUAUUACGCUAGAAAAGCACCUAAGAAUAGAUGAAACCCGAUAUUGUACCUAACGAUACACUUAAAUUGAUUUAACCUCGAAUUAGUUCAAAUAGGAAUUGUAGGAUGAAAUUUAAUAUUUUAUAGUCCAAAAAUGACUAAAAAUGAUUGUUCGGAGUUCGAAGGUUCAUUUGGGGUAAAAUUGAAAAUUUUGAUAUUCAAGGGCAAAAUCGUCAUUUUGCCACCUAAGAUAAUAAUUUGAUCAUGGAGUGAAAUUUUUGACCAAGAUUAACUAUUUGGAGUAUAAUUUAAUGAUAGGAAGUGAAAAAGUUUAAUUAUGGUGAUUUCUGGAGUGUAAGGGCAAAAUCGUAAUUUUACCACCUACGGACAAAAUUUGAGAUUUUGAGAGAAUUUAGAUCAAAUUAGAUAAAUUGGAGAAUGGUAUGAGUAUAAGGGAUGAAAAAUAUGUCUAUGGGCAAUUUUUCAGUUUUUUGGGCAAAAAUGUAAUUUUUCACUUUUACGGGGGCAAAAGUGUAAAUUUCAAAAAUUACUCCACCGAGACUUUGGAUAAGUCUGAGAAUUUUAUCUAAGCUAUGGAUAUGUGAGACAAGUGUAUGGUGAAAAUUUGGAAACAAAUGGACGAAAUUUUAAAAAUGGGUCAAUGGGAAAGUGACACGUGGCAUUUUUAAAAAUGAAAUAGUAUUAUUUUAAUGAAAAGUCAGCCCAUUUAAACCCCAUUUUAAGUGCUAGCCGGCCAUAAGGAAGAACAAGAGAGGAAAUAGAGAGGAAAGAAAGAAAAAAAAGAAAAACCAAAGAGAAACAAGAAAAUUCAAAGGGAAAUUCGCGAUUUUCGACCGUUUACGCGUCUAACGGUAAGAUUUUUCGAUUUUAGCUUGAUUUCUACCUUUCCUAUGCCUUUAUUUCCAUUUAGCAUGCUUGAGGAGAGAGAUCAAAAAGUGAUAUCAAGGGCUGGACGAAAUUCUAGGGGAGAGAAAUUGAAAUUUUUAGGUUUUGAUUUUUAGUUAAAUUGAUAGUUUUAGUUAGUUAAAUGUGUUUAGAAAUUAAAUUGGGCAAGAAAUCAUUAAAUUUUCACAAUACCCACUCUUGGCUGGAUGCUCAAUGCUGUACAAUGAUGAUGAAUUGAUUUUAUUCUAAGGGAAAUGAAGAGAAAAUGAUGAAAAACGAUUAAACGUGAUAGAAAAACAAAGUAGAAAAUUAACCGAGUUAAUGUCCCAUUUUUGGCCGAAUUUUCCAAGGAAGGGAGUGAGCUGAUUUUGUUGUUUUUAGAAGGUUAUUGGCUGAUAUUUAAUGGUUAGAAAUGUUGGAGAGAGAAUGGGAUGAUUUAGAGCUAAAAUGGAGCGCGUUAGCAAUUUAUCGGGCAAAGUGCCAAAAAUAGGUUAAUACCGCGUUUAAGCCGUUUUAGGCUAUUGCAUUUCAUACCAUGCAUUAGUAUAGGAUUUAAGUUAAUUAUAUAGUGAUUUAGCAUCAAUGUGAUGAAUUGUGUAAAUUUUUGUAAUGUGUCUAGGAGGAGAGCCUUCCGGAAAAGGCAAAGAAGUCGUACCCGACGAGUAGUGAUCGGGGCGCUUAGAAAGCUUUUAGUUUGUACAAACGGUGAGUAAACUUAUUAUUAUUGUAAAUUAUCUAGAGUUUAUUUUAAAUGCCCUUUAUGUAUUUUAUGAAAUGAGAACGAGAUUAAAACGGGAUUUUUGAUGUUUUAGGAAUAAAUGUGACAAAUAAAAAUAUAUUGUAUUGAUUAUGAAAUUGAGUAAUUGGAGGCUGCAAAUUGACUUGAAAAAUAUAUAUUUUCCUAGGAAUGGCUUAUGAGAAAUGAGUAUAUGUGGCUAUAUUUUGUGAGUGCAUUUGGGAAAUUUAUGUAAGUUGGUUUUACUAUGCAGGCUGGAUAAAUAAAUAAAAGCCACGUUAUACUGUCGAAAUUUUAUUAAAAUUGGUGGGUUAGUCACUGCAGUGACGGGUUUCCGUGGACUGCCUAUUAGAGGGGCACGGUAAACCCAGUUAUAUAGUUACUCCGGUUGUAGAGGCGAGGAGGGUAACUCCCGGGGUAGUAUUAGAGCUCACUUCACGUCGAACCCCCACGUGAAUGUGUAACUCGGCCAACGCCAAGGAACGGCUGGUUUUAAAAAUAAAAAUGUGUUUCACGUGUGAAUAUUUUAACACCCUUGGCGGACUCGGUUAGAUGCCUCGGCCAAGGUAUCCCCGAGGAUUAGUUUUGGCUUGAGCCUUGUUUUAAUAAAAGACAUAAGCCUUAACAACUGUUUUGGUAAAUUACAAAUAUUUUAUGGUUUAAGAAAUAAAUUGAAAACAUUAUGAAAUGGGUUGAAAUUUGUUGUUUAAACUUGCCUCCAUUUUACUCGCCUUUAGAUAUUUAUGAUAAUGUCUGUUUACUCAUUGGGAUUGCAAAAUCUCACCCAACUCCUUUCCACCCAUUUCAGGUUCAGUAUAGACUGUAGAUAGCUGAUCUCAUCGAGGACUACCAUUGGAUCUGCAUUUUCCAAACCGUAGGUUCACAGUCCUCUUUACUUUUGUUUAUUCGGGGGCCCUCUUGUUAUUGUAAAUUAAAUUAAAUAUUUUGGCUUACUGUAUUUCAGUAUGUAUAAAUUUAUUUAGCUUUUACGCUAUAAAAAUUAUUCACGUAUAACUCUAUAAAUAUUGUUUUAUAAGAAAAUAGAAUAUUUUCCUUAAUAUUUCUUUUAUUUUCUUAUUAUAUUCAAAUAAUUGUAAUUUCAUUUUAAAUGAAGAUUUUAGACUUUUAAACUCAUUUUGAAUAUGAAUUAUGUGUUUUGUACUUGUAUAUUACGUUUUAGCCAGUUUCGAAAUUUUUGAGAAAAAAAUGAUCAAAAUACCCCUGUGUGGCGAAAAUUUUAUCUUGAUUGUUUUUGAUCUAAAAUAGUAUACAUUCUCUAAAAACUCGAUAUUUAACAAUGAUUGCUCAUAGGAAAGGAAAGAAACUGAUAUGUAAGCCUUGCAGGGUUCCGGUUGGCAUUCCGGAUAAUGAGUGUCAAUCGGGACGUCGCGUCGAUUGUCAUGGGCCUGAGGGAGGUUCCGGGUCGUGACAUGUAUAGUAUUUGAAAAUGGGGAACAAGCCUUUCAAUUGUAUUUAUAUCUCAGCAUCUCAUUUGUUAAUGAUUGAUGCAUGAUGGAUGGAAUUCAAAAGUUGCAUGACAAAUGUUUUUCUCCUUAAUGAUGCCAUGGUAUUUAUAACCUUUUAUUCUAAAGUGUUGUGUGGUUUUAUGUUGUCUCAACCUUUAUGGAUAUUGAUGACUGAUUUCAUCCCUUGAUUGAUUAUACACUGUACAUUGAAUUGUUGUAUUGUGGUUGAUGGAGCCUAUAGGUAUAAGGUUUUGUAGCUAAUGGCAGGAGGCACUAGCCAUUGUGCACAAAGAGUGGCAGCUUGAGUUGGUUGAGAAAUUCCCAAGACUCACUGGAUAUUGGUAGUUAACAAAGUACUACCCUUUUUAUGAAUAGUUGUCGGCCUAGAGCAAUGGGCUAUUUGGUUUAGUGUGACGAUACUAGGUGGUUUGGAUGUCCUAGGUUAACGCUCCAUUUUGAUUGAUUGAAUGCCUAAUGUGUGGAUUUAGACUAAGUUAUUAUUGAACUCAUGAUUGAAUUGAUGAAUUGUAUCAUGCCUAUUGUUACAUGAUGUUUAAAUAUUUUUUAAUUGUCUAUGGUUGAUUUAUAGUCUUGCUUGAGGUCCUAGUGGUUAGUUAUAGGCUGAGAUUUUGCUAUUUGCAGCAAAUCUAUUGAUACAUAGAGCCACUCUAUCGAUAGAUUCAACACAAACUGAUGGAUUUGCAUUUUGCUUCAAAUUUAUCGAUACAUUGGAGUAAUGUAUCGAUAGAUAGGGCUGUGCAAAUGGUUAGUUCGAUUAUUGAAUAUCCAAUAAUCGAACUAACCGAACUCUUAUAUAAAAAUAAUCGAAAUCGAACCGAACUAUAUAACUAACCGAACUAAUUGAAAACCGAACUUAAUAAAUUUUUUUUGGUUUGUAUAUAUUUAUUUAUGUUGUAUUUUUUUAAAUAAAUCAAUAAUAAAAAAAUAUUAAAAAUGACCCUAAAAAAUUAUAAUAAAUAAAAUGAAUACUCAUAUAAUUUGUAUGAUAUAAAUAACAAUAAAUAAUUUAAAACAUAGAUAAAAACAACAAUAAAUAGUCUUGAGCAAAUAACAACAAAUCAUUAAUAGUAUUUAACUAGAUAAAAACAAUAACAAAUAGUCUUCAAUAAAUAGGUUGUACCCUUAAACCAGGCCCUGAAAAGUUUAUACUAGUAGAAAUAGAGGUGAGAGACACUAAACCAGCUAGAGACUGUGUAGCAGAGGGGGGUUCAGAUGGAAGGAAAGAUGUAGGAGACAAGGGUGGAGCAACAAAGGGAAGUGCAAUGGCAGGUGCUUGGGUUGGAUUUUCAGCAGCAGGCACAUUACUAACAUUAGCACAAAAACCACUCAUUUCAAGAGUAAGAACAGUAGACCCAAUUUGGCUUUUUUGUUUGUAAGAUCCAAAACACCAAUAUAUGCUCUAGCAGCACCCCCGUCUUCUCUUUUGAAUGUCACAAAAAUUUUAAAUAAAUGAAUGUCACAACCUUGACCAAUUAACAACUAUAUCUCAAUCCCAAAUUGUAUAAUAUCAACUUUGCUUUACUUUUCUUUUGUUUUCUUUAGUUAUGAUCUAGGGACUUUUGCCAAAUGAAAGUAAAAGUAGAAAUAAAAGGUGAAGAAGAUCACCUGAAUUCAUGAAGUUUUCUGGAUAAAUAAGAAACCAAAAGGAUUAAAAGAUUUUCAUUAAAUAUAUUGGAGAAACUGCAUAUACUAGUAAUAAACAUUGUUUCAUCAGCACAGAGUAUCCAAAGAUAUCUGAUAAGGUGCUCGAGUAUUGUCUGAUAGAUAGCUAUAACUCACUUUUUAGAAUGAAACUGGUAAAGCUAUGACAGUUAAAGAGGCAAAAGCAAAUGAUCAGUCUAGGAUAGGCCACAAAAAGCUAAAAGAAGGGAAAACUACAUCAACAAAACAUUUGUAAAGAAUCAAACGAUAUGUUAUGUAGCAGAAAGUGGGGAGACUAAUAGGGAUUUGCCCAACUAAAUUUCAUUGACCGUUUCUUUUUCAAUGACGAAGAAACUGAAAAAGUAAAAACUAAAAACCAGAAAAAAACUAAAAAGAAUGGUGAAGGAUCAAAAGAUGAAGGAUGGCAGAAACCCAAAAAAACUUACCAGUUACUUGAUGUGGGAAGGCACGGAAAGGUGAAGGAUCAAGGACGACAGCAACUUGGACUUGCUAAAGAUGAGAGAAGGGGAAGAGAAGAGGGUGGAGAGUGGAAAGUGGAGACGAGACGGUAGUUGGAAGAAACCAAAAAGGGCAAGAGUGGAGACAGGACGAUAGUCAGCAGAAACCAGAAAGGGCGAUUGUGGAGACAAGACAGC
rnacentral:lncRNA from 1 species